rnacentral:rRNA from 1 species
AUUGAACGCUGGCGGUAGGCUUAACACAUGCAAGUCGAACGGUAACAGCUCUAGCUUGCUAGAGGCUGACGAGUGGCGGACGGGUGAGUAACGCGUAGGAAUCUACCUAAUAGUGGGGGACAACCUGGUGAAAACCAGGCUAAUACCGCAUACGCCCUACGGGGGAAAGCAGGGGAUCUUCGGACCUUGCGCUAUUAGAUGAGCCUGCGUUAGAUUAGCUUGUUGGUGAGGUAAAGGCUCACCAAGGCGACGAUCUAUAGCUGGUCUGAGAGGAUGACCAGCCACACUGGGACUGAGACACGGCCCAGACUCCUACGGGAGGCAGCAGUGGGGAAUAUUGCGCAAUGGGCGAAAGCCUGACGCAGCCAUACCGCGUGUGUGAAGAAGGGUUUAGGCUCGUAAAGCACUUUAAGCAGGGAGGAAGGCCUAAAGAUUAAUACUCUUUAGGAUUGACGUUACCUGCAGAAUAAGCACCGGCUAACUCCGUG